UGCAAGAGCCUUUGGCCCCAUGGAGGGACUGCUGGCUGCCGGCUUCUUCACUUCAGCUCCUUCUGGAGAUGACCAAGUCUGUGGUGGUGCCUGAAGAUUUAAGCAAGGCCCAGGUCAUGCUGGGUUUCAUGGGGAGAUGAUGGUUCAUCAGGACAAAGACAAAAAUUCCUUAAAAUUAUCUCAAAAGAGUGAAGAAUAUCAGAAAAUGUUAACAGACUGGAUAAAAAUGUAGAUAUUCAGGAAAGUCUAAAACCAUUCAUAAUAAGCUCAAAAAUUAAAAGAAGAAAUAAACAAUCUCAAUGAACCUAGUAAAGCCACAUCCACAAGCAUAGGCCAAGUCACACAUGACAGAGAAUGACAGAUCUGAUCCCUGUCUACAGCCAGGGAAGUCUGACACCCUCGCCUGGCCCCCUUCUUGAUAGUAACACUGUGGGGGGCAGAGAGGGGUGACUUGGACUAGGAUACGUAAAGUGAAUCCGGAAAAGAGACAACCUGGAUGAUCAAGCAGGAACUGAUUUAAAGGAAUUGAUGUCUGCUGCUAAGAGUAUGAAGCCCUGAGGGCUGAGACCACAUCUGCCUGGUUUUCUGUGGCAGCUGCAGCAUCAACACUGGCUCUUCGAAGAGUAGCAGCUGAUGAACAUUACUCCGGCAAACAAUUUUCUCUGCUAGGAACUGGAUAAAUGCAAAGGAAGGAGGGGAGAGUGUGUCAGACGGGGACCCUGCC
ensembl:lncRNA LINC02376 long intergenic non-protein coding RNA 2376